rfam:Struthio camelus australis contig59877, whole genome shotgun sequence.
UCCUGGUUGGUAUAGGGGUAAGUACCCCCGCCUGUCACGCGGGAGACCGGGGUUCGAUUCCCCGACGGGGAG